AGAGCAUAGUGAGGUCAAGAAUCCACAACCUAUCAAUCGUCAGUAAUGCGCAGACGGAGGGUCUGUAGCUCAGUCGGUUAGAGCACCGUCUUGAUAAGGCGGGGGUCGUUGGUUCGAUUCCAACCAGACCCACCAACGUUUGAAGGAACGGGGGAUUAGCUCAGCUGGGAGAGCACCUGCUUUGCAAGCAGGGGGUCGUCGGUUCGAUCCCGUCAUCCUCCACCACCCUGGUUGCCAGGCGUCAGAACAAAAUGCUUGUUGAGUGUUUUGUUCUGACGGACGAAAGUCUGUACGCUCUUUAACAAAAUGGAAGAAGGUUGUAGUGCUGGUUGCCGACAAGCAAUAGCCAGCACUACGGUUGUGAUUGCAUCUGCCCCUUGUUACAGCUAGCAGGGGGCGGCACAAAUCGAGUUGCCUGUAGCGGUGAUCCCCGCAAGAGGAUUCAAAGUUAUAG
rnacentral:tRNA from 1 species